CCGCCCACCUGCGGCCUUUUACGCUUGGUCUCCGAGGGGCUUUGGCGCUGGCGGCGGGUCCUCCAGCGCAUGCUAGUGUAUUACCACGUGCGCAUAAUAAGGGGCAGGCUCCUGGAAGCCGGAUCCUCCGCCAUCUCGGGCCAAGCCUGGGUUCAAGCCGGUGUUUGAGGUCUCCCGGGUCUGUCGUUCCUCUCGCUGAACAAAGGGAUUUGAAAACCGAGUCAGCUUGUGGGUUGCUUCCUCCCUGUCAAAAAGGUGGCUUGAUAAUUAGCUUUGCCAUUACAAGGCAAGGAGAGAAGACAGUCAUGUCCAUCCCUGUCACUGGACCCCUGUGGUCAGCUGGUGUUGGCAGUUGAAAGGGUGCUCCUGGAAGACUCCGACCUAGAUGAAAAAGUGGCCUGGCUGUUGGGCCAGAAGCCCUCUCUGUCGUUGAGGUUCACUCCCAGUGGCCGGAAAUGCCACCGAGAGAUGCGCGCUGCGUGGGGGUUCUGAACGAUCGGCUUCAGCACCCGGCCCAGGUGGACAGCGACGAGCGCAGCAGCCCGCCUCACCCUCCCUGCGCGGCCACUGCGCGCGCCUCGCCUCUGACCCCUGCCAGCAGCGUGCCCAGCGCCACGUCCAGCGCCAGCACCUCGGCGCUGUCUGGCCACGCGAUCGCCUUGUACAUCUCCCUGUGCCUCCUUGCCCAGGCCUGCCAGGAGCUGUGUGCGCGUGUCCAGAGCUGCAGCUGCUCCCCAAGGCAGGGCUCCCUAUGUGGCCCCCUCUGUUGCCUCUCUCAGGGCUUCUAGGCACGUCCGUGGGGAGGCAGCAAGAACAUGUAAAAACUUCCCCAAGCUGGUGCUGAUAAGUAUACCCCUUCACGUCAUAAAGGGCUCUAGUCCCCGUUGAAGUCUGUCUUGCUUCUGGAGAUUUUCUAAAACCCUGUUUUGUUUUAAAAUGCAUUCAUCCUGUUUUGUAAUUAUAUGUAUUUCUGGUAACUUUUUAUUUCAUGCUGGUCUUCACUCCAAGUUUUUAGCACAGCUUGAAUUUGUGUAACUCAAAUGAAUAUAAAAUGAAAGUGAAAGUUACUCAGUCGCGUCCAAGUCUUUGCUACCCCAUGGACUGUAUAGUCCAUGGAAUUCUCCAGGCCAGAAAACUGGAGUGGCUAGGCUUUCCCUUCUCCAGGGGAUCUUCCCAACCCAGGGAUUGAACCCAGGUCUUCCACACUGCAGGUGGAUUCUUUACCAGCUAAGCCGCAAGGGAAGCCAAAUGAAUAUAACAAAUAUAAUAUUACCUGGUACCUGUGAGGCUUCUUCCAAGUACUUCUCUCACUUCCACCAUCCCACUCUUAACUGAAUAAUUAAUAUAUCCGAAAUCAACUAUUACCAGCUAUUAACUCUGUCUUUAUUUUUAAUCCUAACAAUUUUCUAAGGUAAAUAUUAAGAAUCCCUUCACAUUGUUUUACUUUUAUUGUUUAUUGAUAAAUUAGGAAUGUAUUCAGCCAGGUAAAAUGAUUUGUUCCAGGUCACAGAGCAU
ensembl:lncRNA